CCUACGGGGGGCAGCAGUGAGGAAUAUUGCGCAAUGGGGGAAACCCUGACGCAGCGACGCCGCGUGGAUGAUGAAGGCCCUUGGGUCGUAAAAUCCUGUCAGAUGGAAAGAAAUGCUAUAAUGCUAAUAUCAUUAUAGUUUGACGGUACCAUCAAAGGAAGCACCGGCUAACUCCGUGCCAGCAGCCGCGGUAAUACGGAGGGUGCAAGCGUUGUUCGGAAUUACUGGGCGUAAAGCGCGCGUAGGUGGCUGUUUAAGUCAGAUGUGAAAGUCCACGGCUCAACCGUGGAAGUGCAUUUGAAACUGGAUAGCUUGAGUAUUGGAGGGGGUAGUGGAAUUCCCGGUGUAGAGGUGAAAUUCGUAGAUAUCGGGAGGAAUACCGGUGGCGAAGGCGACUACCUGGCCAAAUACUGACACUGAGGUGCGAAAGCGUGGGGAGCAAACAGGAUUAGAUACCCCCGUAGUC
rnacentral:rRNA from 1 species